UAUAGAUCAGUUGUAGUCAGUUGAUGUAGUCCCCUGUUGGCUUUGUUCAGAUUUCAUUCAGGCACCAUGCCUGCGGCUUCAAAGAGAGGUCUAUAUGAGAACUGAGCAAAUAGUGACUAGGAGCUUCCAGACUUUGCCCCCAUAGCCCUAAUGUAGUUUCAGUUAGCUCACAUGUAGUUUCUGUUCAGAUAAGUCACAAUGAAAUAGUGACACUGAAGUAAACGUUGCCUUCUCCGGGGUUUUAUGGAACUUUGCCUGAUAGCAACCUCAUGGAUUGGGCAGUGAAUGCAGAAACAGUGUCCUGAAUCUCACAGGAUUCUUGCACCUAGGUGAGGUUUCUCUGAAUGGCAGUGUAUGAAUUGGUCUCUUUAGUUUAGUGUCAUUGGUGAGCUUGAGGAGAGUUGCAUCCUGUCCCAUUCAUUGAGGGCGGAUCAUUGAUGAUCUUAAACAGCACAGGUCCUGAUACAGCUUGUAACCAGCUUGCUUAGACUUAGAACCAUUGACCUUUGAGCCUGAAGGUGCAGCCACCAUUCAGCUCACUCGUCUAGUCCAUACACCCCCAGUUUGGCUACAAUCAUAUCAAAAGCUUGCUACUCCAUGCUCACAGAAACAGUUAUUUUAUUAUGGAAGGUGGUCGUGUAUAUUGGGCAUGAUUUUCUCUUUGUAAAUCUAUAAUAGCUCUUCCCAGUCACCAUUUUUUCACUCGUGUGCCUGGAAACACCUUGUAGGAGGAUAUGUUCCUCUCCAAAUACAGAUAAUUCCUAAGAUAUACAACGUGCAUCCAGUCAGUUUUGGUAGCAGAACUUAACUGUUGCAGUAACAAGUUGGCUAAACAGCUUAGGAAAUCCUACCUUAGUAUCCAAAGAAAACAUUGUCCUGUGAGUUGGAUCUGGGGGAAAGUGGGAUAGCUAGCAGCUUAUGUCUGAUAUAGUGCAUGCCUGUGAACAUGAUAUCACAUCUGUACGUAUCUGACAGGGCACUGGUGGAGUAUAUAUGCUAGCUGAUAGCAUGGUAUACUGAAAGAAUAUCGCCAGAUGUGCUGCAUCCCUCUAUAAAGAAUUUUGAGGUUUGUGGGGAAAAUUAUUCACUGAGAUCAGCCUCUUCCAAAUUGAAUGUCAGGAAAAACACUGGGCUACUGUGAGGACAUUUGUGCUUCAUGAGUGCCUGGAUACUCUGCCAUUUUUGAUCUACCGUUUCCAAACACCAUUUGCCAGACUGUAGCAAAAAUCAGCAUAAAACUGCCUAGCAGCUGUCCUACAAGCUGAUCUUUUCCUUUGAAAUCAAGAAGUAGAGAUGCAUACAGACUCUUUUUACUGAGAGCACAAGUUCCUGCUCAUCAAGGAAUAACUCUAGUUUUGAAAAAAGGC
ensembl:lncRNA